rnacentral:rRNA from 1 species
AUGAACGCUGGCGGCGUGCCUAAUACAUGCAAGUCGAGCGAACGGACGAGAAGCUUGCUUUUCUGAUGUUAGCGGCGGACGGGUGAGUAACACGUGGAUAACCUACCUAUAAGACUGGGAUAACUUCGGGAAACCGGAGCUAAUACCGGAUAAUAUUUUGAACCGCAUGGUUCAAAAGUGAAAGACGGUCUUGCUGUCACUUAUAGAUGGAUCCGCGCUGCAUUAGCUAGUUGGUAAGGUAACGGCUUACCAAGGCAACGAUGCAUAGCCGACCUGAGAGGGCGAUCGGCCACACUGGAACUGAGACACGGUCCAGACUCCUACGGGAGGCAGCAGUAGGGAAUCUUCCGCAAAGGGCGAAAGCCUGACGGAGCAACGCCGCGUGAGUGAUGAAGGUCUUCGGAUCGUAAAACUCUGUUAUUAGGGAAGAACAUAUGUGUAAGUAACUGUGCACAUCUUGACGGUACCUAAUCAGAAAGCCACGGCUAACUACGUG